rnacentral:rRNA from 1 species
AUACGGAGGAUGCGAGCGUUAUCCGGAUUUAUUGGGUUUAAAGGGUGCGUAGGCGGUUUGUCAAGUCAGCGGUGAAACGCAAGGGCUUAACCCUUGACCUGCCGUUGAAACUGAUUGACUAGAAUGCGGAUGCUGUGGGAGGAAUGUGUGGUGUAGCGGUGAAAUGCAUAGAUAUCACACAGAACACCGAUUGCGAAGGCAUCUCACAAAUCCGUGAUUGACGCUGAGGCACGAAAGUGUGGGGAUCAAACAGGAUUAGAUACCCUGGUAGUCCACACUGUAAACGAUGAUAACUCGCUGUCGGCGAUAUACAGUCGGUGGCCAAGCGAAAGCGAUAAGUUAUCCACCUGGGGAGUACGACCGCAAGGUUGAAACUCAAAGGAAUUGACGGGG